GGUGGAGCUCAGAGGUAGAGCACCUGCCUAGUAUAUGCUAGCUAGGUCCUAGGUUCAAUCCCCAGCACCA
rnacentral:tRNA from 1 species